rnacentral:ncRNA from 1 species
UGCUUUUUUUGCCCAGGCGGAGCUCGACCGUCGACUCAAGUAUUAAAUGACUUUGUGGACAAGCAUCGGGACAUACACGGGGUCGAGCCAAUCUGCAAAGUUUUGCAGAUUGCCCCG